rnacentral:rRNA from 1 species
GACGAACGCUGGCGGCGUGCUUAACACAUGCAAGUCGAACGGAAAGGCCCCUUUGGUGGUACUCGCGUGGCGAACGGGUGAGUAACACAUGAGUAACCUGCCCUUCACUUCGGUAUAACUUCCGGCAACUGGGGCUAAUACCGGCUAGGAAUCCUUGCUGCCUGGUGGGGGUUGGAAAGCUUCGGCGGUUUUGUGUGGACUCGCGGCUUAUCUGCUUGUUGGUUGGGUAGUGGCUUACCAACGCAUUGACGGGUAGGCGGCCCGGGAGGGCGACCGGCCACAUUGGGACUGAGAUACGGCCCAGACUCCUACGGGGGGCAGGAGGGGGGAAUAUUGCACAAUGGGCGGAAGCCUGAUGCAGCAACGCCGCGGGGGGGAUGAAGGCCUUCGGGGUGUAAACCGCUUUCAGCAGGGGCGAAGCUGGUGGUGACGGUACCUGCAGAAGAAGCACCGGCUAACUACGUG